CAGACCGCAGAAGAGAGCUACAGGGAUGGUAGCACGAGGAAGCCUUGCGUGGACGUUGCUGGCUCUGAAGGUGGAGGAAGAGGACCUCUGAAAGUUGGAAAAGCUCUCCUAUUCCUUGCCAUCAGCAUCUGGGUCAAUGAUGAGCAGAAGUAAGGGGUAAAGGAAAUCUCUCUGUGGACACUGAGGAUGAAGAUGAUGACAAGGUCCUAGAGGAUGGGAAACUACGAGGUGGAAAAGCCUAGUCCCCAAAGUGCCACUUGGAGAAAAGCUAACAGCUGAUGAAGAAUACCUGCUUUAUAUAUUUUCAUCUCCAAGGCCAUGGAACUAAAGAGCAGUUAUUGCGGGGACAAAAUUUUCCAAGAGAAGACUCCAAGAGAGAGCAAGAAGAAAAAUCUUACAUAUGGAGGUAAGUUAAUGAUGCUUAAGAGAAAGAAAUAAAUUCAAGUUCUUUUUAAAGAACUUGGUAU